UGGGCAACCUGCCCUCAGCACUGGGAUAACCCCGGGAAACCGGGGCUAAUACCGGAUACGACCUCGGCGGGCAUCCGCUGAGGUGGAAAGUGUCAGUGGCUGAGGAUGGGCCCGCGGCCUAUCAGCUUGUUGGUGGGGUAACGGCCUACCAAGGCGACGACGGGUAGCCGGCCUGAGAGGGCGACCGGCCACACUGGGACUGAGACACGGCCCAGACUCCUACGGGAGGCA
rnacentral:rRNA from 1 species